rnacentral:lncRNA from 1 species
AGAUAAGAGAGGAGCAUGUCUGGUGAAGCAGAGGGCAGGGCUCACCAGGUCACCCCUCACCCCAGACCCCUCCCCUCCCCUCCUCUGCUGAAACCCCAGCACUGGGAGGAAGAGAGAUUAAAAACCACUGAGCUGGCACUUCCAGCUGUGGCAUCUGAUGAUUCGGCUAUAAAGGAGAAAAAAACCAGUCUAACGAUGUAAAGUGGCAGCCAGUAGUAGAAAGAUGGCUGGUUUGGGAUCACUGAGGAAAGCGGUACCUUCAUCUUAGUCCAACUGUGAAAUGACCUUCCCCAAGGUUUGGCUUGGGUUCCAUUCGGGGUCCUGCCAUUCACUUGCCGUGUGAUCUUGGCCAGGAGACUCUUUCUGGGCCUCAGUUUCUUCGAGAGAGCUGGGAGAGCUCAGUGGCUUUUCACACUGUGCUCAGGGGAGUCCUAAGUCCUCCCCUCCUCUGCCUCCCCACUUUAUCCAGAAGAGCCCUGUUUUCCUCUAUUUUAUACAUUGUGGGUCCCUAUAAAAUUUCCUUUGAAGACAGGCUUUUGUGGCCAACAAAAGUUUGAAAUCCACCAGACUGAAUAACCUCGUCCAUUACUUCCAGCCCUGACACUCUCUGAUUCUAAAAAUCACCAAGUUAUAAUCUAUUUGCAGGAACAGAUCAUAUUCAAAGAAGUCUCAAGAGAUGAGCCAUAUGCAAACAUUUCACCUGGAAAGUUUGGCUGCAUUCAAGUUAUUUAUGUGCAAAGUGCCUGCCAGCAAAGUGGGACAAGCCUGGGAUGUGCUUUGCUCUCUGCAGGUGGGGAAGACACUGCUGGCCCAUGGCUUGCAAACAAGAAAACCAACUGAGAGAAACACAGUCCUGCCAGGAGGGUACCCGCCCCCUGGGCUUUCUCCUGCUGGCCUGCCUGCAUCCCCCGGGCCUUGCCUGACUCUUGCUUGUCUCUCCAAGAAGAAGACAGAAGAUAGAACAUGCAGCCCAGUAACCAUUAAAAGAUGGUGAUGAGAUGCUAGAAAAUCUGCAUUGAAGGAGCUGUAGAUUUGUAAAGUUUCCAAAGGCUCAUUGGGUAAAACUUCCAGACUCAGGCCCAUCUUAGCGCCGCAGACCCAGCCCAAGGGCAGAUAAGAUUUGAGGUUGGUUCUCCCUGGCUGACGGGUAAUCCUUAGCAUCCUGCACAGACAGGCCUUCUGUUCCAGCCUAAGACUCCAGCAGAGGGGAGCAAAUGAGAGGAAAGCCAGACUAUGAAUAAAUAAAAAAUGAUUUCUAUUUCUCUUUGGAUCAUGUGGGUUUUCUUUGGGGGGGAGAGUAGAGCACAUUUUGAUUAUAUCUUCAUUAUGUCACUUAAAAAUAAGCAGAUGAAUAGACUGUAAAGCUAAAAGAGGCCCUUGAAAUCAUCUAGUUUUCACCUGCCUCCUUUUAAGGAUGAGAAAACUGAGACCCAGCGUGGGGAAGCUCCUUUUUGGGAAUCAUCCAGGUAUAGGAGCAGAAUUUAGUCUGGACCUCAGGCCACUGGCCAUUUCAUUCAUCUCCUGCUGUGGCCUUUAUUUGGUCACAGCACACUGUGGUAAGAGG